UCUAAUAGCGGCGUGAGGAGGUCAUUA
rnacentral:rRNA from 1 species